rnacentral:tRNA from 1 species
UCUCCUAUAGCUCAGUUGGUAGAGCGUCAGACUGUUAAUCUGCAGGUCCUAGGUUCGAGCCCUAGUGGGAGAGCUA